rnacentral:SRP_RNA from 15 species
UUCUUCGUCCUGCACUUUGGUAGGCUGUGGGCUUUUCGAUUCCUCUCUUGCAGGGGGUGUGGUACUACCUCCAGCCCCAGGAUCAGGCGUGACAGGCCUGGAAGGGAGUGGCGAUGGCGCUGACA